rnacentral:tRNA from 1 species
AGUCUUAUAUUCAAUUAUGAUUUUAAAUUGCAAAUUUAAAGGUGGCGUGAUCCUAAGGCUU